rnacentral:snRNA from 1 species
GGAUGUGAGGACGAUCUGGCUGUGACAUCUGUCACCCCAUUGAUCGCCAGGGUUGAUUUGGCUGAUCUGGCUGGCUAGGCGGGUGUCCCCUUCCUCCCUCACUGCUCCAUGUGCGUCCCUUCUGAAGCUGCGCGCUCCGUCGAAGAGGACGACCGUUCUUUGGUCAAGGGUAUACAAGUAGCUGCGCUCCCCUUCUAGAACCUCCAAACAAGCUCUCAAAUAUAUGACGUGCAAUUAUUUAUCCCCAUUAUGAGGCAAGCCUUCCUUU